UACGUAGGCAGCAAGCGUUGUUCGGAGUUACUGGGCGUAAAGGGUGUGUAGGCGGUUGGAUAAGUGUGGUGUGAAAUCUCCCGGCUUAACUGGGAGGGUGCGCUACAAACUGUCUGACUAGAGUGUGGGAUGGGUAAGUGGAAUUCCUGGUGUAGCGGUAGAAAUGCGUAGAUAUCAGGAGGAACACCGGUGGUGUAGACGGCUCUCUGGACCGUAACUGACGCUGAGGCACGAAAGCGUGGGUAGCAAACAGG
rnacentral:rRNA from 1 species